GGUUGAUGGGCUGCCCUGGUGAUUUCUCCUGCUGUGAGCUGCCAAUUGAGCUGUGUGGCCCCAGUUGGGAACAAGACAUGAGUUCUCCCUCCAGCAGAGGUUUGAGUCUGUUCUAGGACUGGUAAGUAGGGUGCUUGGUGGCACCUGAGGUAAAUUUAUUAGAUAUAUAUACUGUAGCACUGUAGGAUAACCAUUGUGUUUUCUCAUAGGUUCCUGCAGUUGCUGUUUUCUGCCUCCCAGUUUUUGAUAUGUUGUCCAUGUGAACCUCUGGUAUACCUGCUGUCGUUCUUAAGAUAAUUCUUGUACUUUUAUUGGAGUGUUGUGUUUUUCACAGGUUGUGAGUGCCGCCAGGUGGGGUCAGCCACCCGGGUGAGGUCCCCUUCACUGUGUUGCUGUGGCUUGGAGCACUGGGCACCUUUUUUUCUCUUUUGUUUUAGUUUGCUGUGUGUGUGUGUGAGUGUAUGCACCCCCGGACACUCUUCCCCUUUAAAACCUGCCCCCAUCUUUUCGGCGGCCUCAGCCAUAACCUUGUUCCAGUGUGUUUUAGUGGCACAUGAUAUUUUUAGCUUGUGGAUCUGUUUAAAAUAAUUGCUCAUUGUAAUAAAAUAUAUCUUUAUACGUAC